UACGUAGGGUGCAAGCGUUGUCCGGAAUUAUUGGGCGUAAAGAGCUCGUAGGCGGUUUGUCGCGUCUGCUGUGAAAAUCCAGGGCUUAACCCUGGACCUGCAGUGGGUACGGGCAGACUGGAGUGCGGUAGGGGAGAUCGGAAUUCCUGGUGUAGCGGUGAAGUGCGCAGAUAUCAGGAGGAACACCGGUGGCGAAGGCGGAUCUCUGGGCCGUAACUGACGCUGAGGAGCGAAAGCAUGGGGAGCGAACAGG
rnacentral:rRNA from 1 species